AACCUGCAUGAAAAAUAUCGCCACAAUAGUAUUAUUAUUGUGGAGAUACUUAAGGAUGAGAUGCAUUAAGGAGAUACACGGCGAUAAGAUUAAGUAGCAGAUUCUACCACACAAGAGAAAAGUAAAAGCAUUAUUCUUUGGUAUUUAUAAUUGGAGCAUGGUGACAUCGCGCAUAGUUUUAUAAUUACAAAUUUUACGUCUAGAACGCUCGUAUUUUUUUUUCCUCACCGUUAUGUUUUUAUUACAAAUUUUUAUAUUUUACAAUAUUAAUCUUACAGGACUGAUGCAGCAGAACCAGGAGCCAUUGUCAAAUAUAAACGUGUCUGUGAUGUAACAUCCACACGAUCUAUGUUGUACUGCAUGUUUGGUGCAUGGGCUCCUUGGCUGACACAUGGAUUAUGUUACGUUCUGUGUAGACUUGUUCGUAGCACCUUUUUUACAGAACUGCAGACUUCGGCUGAUUCUUUACCGUAGCCAAAUGAAAAAAAAUGUGUAAGUCAGGAAAAAGAAAGUUCUGUUGACGUCAGCAACAAUCAGCACAACUUAAGAGAUUUGAUUUAAUCAAUAAACCCAAGUCGGUUGUAACCAUUGACAAGUUCAAGUUGUAUAAAUCUAAUAUCGAAAUAACCGAAAUUAUUACUUGUGGCGACGGUAAUAUGCCAACAUUUUUCCUUGGUCAUUGUAGUUGACGAAAUGUUACUGUGUUGUGUAAUUUGUGCUGGCUUUCUAAGAUUUGAUUCACAACGACAUUACUGAAAUUUAAGUUGAAGCGACAGAACCAAAAUGAUGUGUUUAAAGGACUAACGUAACCUUCAAAAUCCAAUUAACACAGGGUACAAUUAAUAAGAAGAGCCCAGCCGAGGAAAUGACCAUUGAUUUCCGUCGCCGAUAUGCGGGGCGGAAUCUUUAAAAUCGCCUGAUGGGAGAUGGAUAGAGAGAUACAGCACAAAGCCCGCACGCUCUUAAGUUUUUGUCCAGGCUAAACGCUCGGAAAAUUCCUUUUUUGCGAAAGCCAAUGAAGAUGCUUUAUUUUAAUCUCUGUCAAUUAAAUGACCAAUCUGAACAGAGAGUGUUCAGAUUGGUCACAGAACAUUCCGUGUGCGGCCAUGACUAAAAGUGCUUACAUUUUGUUGGUCGCCCCUUGCUGGUCUCUUUGGUUUGGUCGUAGUAGCUUUAUUGAUGGGGAGCUAAGCACUAUUUUUUAAAUUCGUGUAUUUUAUCAGAUCAGCUGUUAUAAAACCAUGCACCAUCAACAUUUUCAAAAAUAUUUCAACAAGAGAGUAAAUUUUGAAGGCCUAAAUACUGAAAUAUUCAAAUGCUAAUAUGUAUUUAUUGCUGAAUUAAUAAACAAUGAACUACUUUAUCAUUCAAAUUGAGCUCGUUCAAAAGUUAUUAUAUUCGAAUCGUCAAGUUUCUACAUAGCAAGAUUUGUAUGCUGGAAUUUCCAGAACUUUCCAGAUCACUUUUAAAAAUAUCCAGUUAAAGUUUUAACUGUUAUUUUAGAAUACUUUGUACAGCUAUGUAAAAUUUUUAUUUUUUAUUUAUUGAGUUGUAUUUUAACAUUGCAGGUUAGUUAUAAAGAUAGUUAAGAAUCGUGAUACUCGUGAUUUGUUUACCCCAUAACUCUCCGUUUUCAAGGUCUACUUGAAAUCUUAAAGCCGCAGGGCUUCUUGUUUCGUUUAAAAAAUGCUUGCUGCAUAAUUACGAUCAAAGUAUGGUGAAAAAGAGUUUGAAAGCUACAUUAGGGUCCUUGUAAAGGAUAUCGAAACAAAUGUUUUUAAUAUUGUGCAGAUGCAGAUUUGUGGUGCGUGGCCUUGUGAUUAUGGAGUUCGCUUCGUAAUCACAAGGUCUGUGGUUCAGUUAACAGUGUGGGCAUGUUUAGUAAGUGCCUUUACCACAGCUAUGGGUCAACCCAUGCCAUGUGAGGAAAAUUGGGUAGGCAAUGCCGGUGUAUACUUAAUGUUUACAGUCAGGACACAGGACUCACAUUAAUAACAGUGUUUCCAACACUGAAGUGGCUAUAUCCUGUAUAAAUAUUCGGUAUAAUAAUAAAAGACCGUUUAUUCUAAUAAUCAGUGUCAUUUUAUACUUUCUUUGCAUUUUUUUAAAAGAUAACACUGACCUCCUGAAUUAUACGAAACUGCGACUUUUCAAGCCUUUUGUGAUUUGUGGAAGAGCAGAGCUAAAUAAAUAACAAAAUGUAAAUAAAGCGAGUAAUCGCGAGUAAUUUCGUACAAAUAUGCAUAUUAUAAAACAAGUAAAUACAAAAUUAUUUCGUUUUCAUGCUACAUGCUGGGAAAAUAUUGUACUUAAAUUACAGUACGAAGAAGUCAGGAUGUCAGUGGCAGCGACAGAGAUUAAAGAUCUAUUUAAGAUCAAAAUAAAACCACGCCAUGAUAGUUAUUCCGAUCAAUAUAAUCGCAUCUUCAUGGUGAAAAUUCUACUGGCUUGUACUAUUGUGUUUGGUAUCAGUUGGUAUAAAGAUAAAUUUAAUUGUGUCGUGCCAGACAGUCAAUCUAGUUCAGAAGAUUUUUAUAGUUUUGUUUCCACAACAUGUUGGGUUCAAGGUAUUUAUGUGUACAGAGAACUAAAGGAAAAGAUUGAGCUGGUAGUGUACUAUGGUGUACCAAAAGAUGUGUCAGACAAUGGAGUUAUAGAUGGAAAAUAUUUGUGUGAUGCUAAAAAGCCAAACCAACUUAUUAAUUCCAAUUUAAAAUGUAUUCCUAUGACAAAAUCCUUCUUUCUUCAGUACCAGUACAUGCCAUUCUUCAUCUGUGCAUUGGCAUUGUUGUACUACCUGCCAUACAUGAUUUCAAAGACGGUCAAUCAUGAUCUAAUCAACUUGCGUGAAGCUAUUAAGAAGAAUGAAACAGAUAUUAAUGGUAUUGUCAAGUAUUACUUUAAAGAUCGCAAGCAACGAGGAAAAUGCAGUAAGAUGCUGACAGCUAAACAGAUUGCAAAUAUAGGUGUUAAAGUUGCCUACAUCGCUGUCAACCUCGUUUCUUUUUUAUGUACUGACUCAAUUUUUCAUGGAAAGUUUAGAAAAUACGGAAGCGAAUGGAUUCAAUGGGGCAAAAGUAAUAACACACUAGCAUUUAAUUAUAUGGGAAAAAGAGGAUUUCCCAAACCAGGGAACCAGUUUCUUCCACCUUUUGGAUUGUGUGAAGUGUAUACCUCAGCAAAACACGUUGUUGAAACUCACAAUAACGUACAUGUAGUUUUGUGUGAAAUGUCUCAACAUAUCUUGUAUCAAUACGUCUUUAUGUUAUUGUGGUUCGCUAUGAUCACUGGGAUUGUUGUCUCAAUUAUUGGUCUCGUUAACCUUCUGAUAAAUUAUGUCAUUGGACUUGUUGGAAUUAGGCAAGUAUCUUUAAGUCCCCAGUACCCCCCCCCCCCUUUCUCAUUGAUUUGAUCCUAACUCCCAAUCCUUCCUUAACUUAAGGACUUAAGGGUUUUGUUCCCUCUUUCUAAUCUUAACACACCCACCAAUUGCAUUUGAUGACUUGUCAUACAGAGAAAUUGAAUACUUAGAAUUCAUGCGUAACAAGGAUCAACUUUUAUAUGGCGAGGUGAUUGACAGGCUAAAGAAACGGUUUGAUAAUCCCCCCUUAAUGAAAAAAGAUUAAGUUCUCUUAUACAUCAGCAGUUAUUUCUCUGGUGAACGGUUACCCCGCACCAAACACAUAAUGUUAAAAAAAAACAAGAUGCCGAAGCGGUUUUAACACUUACACUAAAAGAACAAAAUUUUCUUGGAAGUUAGGACUCAAUAUUUUUGCUUUUUUCUGUUUCUGACACACCUUAACCCUAUACUUAGAGUUAUUUCUACUCUACAUUAAUGCUGUAAUACAUUUGUGCAGAUUAUUCCUGCAUAAACCAAAGUGGCAUGCUAAAGAAAGCAUUGAUCGUUACAUUCAGAGAGACUUUACUUUUGUUUUUGAAUUGGUACACUUGGACUUGACGUGGCAAGAGUAAUAUUAAAAUAGUAUGUGACUCUAUCCUAUAAACUUCUGCAAGUAAAUGAACCUGGAUCUUUUACAGAUUUUCACUGUAAGAAUCUUAUCAUUAGACCCCAGAAGUUUUACACAAACAUCCAUAGGAAAUGAAUACAAAUGUUCUGUUAACUAUGUCGUAGAAAGAGCGGAAACCGCGAAAACGGAUGAUUUUCGAUUUCCGUCGAUUAAACUGCUUUUUUUCGGAGACUGAUUAAAAAGAUACUAUUUGUGAAAACUAUAUAUUUCAAGCUCUUUAGAGUUGGAAGCCCAAUCUAAAAAAUCACACGGAAAGUAAGUUUACUUACAUUAUACUUUACUGCGUUCUUAAAGAACCUUCAACGACCGAUACCGUAUAGAGCGCGAAAAUCUCGAAAACGGCUAAUUUUCGGUUUCCGUCGAUUAUAAACUGCUUUCUUUCGGCGCCAGAUCAAAAAAAAUAUCCUUUUUGAAAACUACGUGUGUCAAGUUUCUUAGCGUUGGAAACUGCACAACAAAAACCGUACAACAAAUAUCGCACAACAAAAACCGCACAACAAUAACCGCACAAUAAAAACCGCACAAAAAAAACUGCACAACAAAAACUGCAUUACAAAAACUGCACAGGCUUUGCUAAAUAACCAGAAUAUAUAGACACAGUAGAUAGGCUGAAAUAAUAUAAUAGAUACCUGGGUCUCACAAUUUAAUAUUACAAGAUAUAUGUUUCAGCUGAGGAUAAAAAGAAAAAAACACUAUCGAACCUGAGUAACCAGACUUAGUUCAUACUUUCUGACCUUAUGUGUUUUCUUAGAAGCGUUUAUAAAUAUUAGCUAAUCCACCAAGUGAUUCUUUAUGUGCAAGAAGCAAAAAAGUAAGCAAGCUGAAACCUGCAAUAUCUAUCUUUUUCUAGUUUCUCUGUGAUCAACUCAACGGCCACCACUGUAAAUGAUGUAUUGUGCCAAAGGCUUUUGGUGAAAAAGUUUACUGCCGGCAGAAUAAUUUUUUUGAUAUCGUGCUGGUACCGGUGAAAUAACGAACCAGAAAACAAUCAAAGGCAAUAUGCGAGUAGUUUGUGCUGCGUAUGAGAGGAAUCAAAACAAUCUCGCCGUACGUAUAUGUAACGUAAAACGCCGAGCUCACUUAGCUCUGCAAGGUUAUAUAUAAAACUUUGAUUAAAUGAGACAAAUCUCAUUAAAUAUUACACACAGAAAAACUGUGUAUUGGAGGGUCACGUGACGAGGCCUCUUCCAGGGCAAUGCUCGUAUCGCCGUCCCGAGGUCAGAAAAGAUACAAGAUGCCCUGAGGACGAGGUUAAUAAUAGCUAGCUUUAGGUGUAAGUGACGCAAAGAAGGGGUUCAUUACAUGUAAAAAACAGCGAUAUACUAGCUAUUAUUACCGUUUCUUAGUUUUCUUAAAAAUACCUAUUCCGUCCAUUGCGAUCACAGCGAUAAGCUAGCAUCAACACAAGUUCCGUUUAAGACGCUGCCUAUGUAAAGAAAGAUGACGUGAUAUUAGUAAAAGUGACCUGUGAAUCAUGUGGCUGAAACUCUAGGCUGGCUUGAUCUCAACUGAAAGUCCCCGCUCGGCCAUCUUGUAAAAAAACAAAAGCACUGCAUCGCCGUGUUGUCUCGCUGAAUCAGAAAAUUUACAGAAAAACAACCAGAUAAAUUACUGGGCAACCCAGUCCAAAAAAAUUGACGAAAAUUUAAAUUUUGGAUGUAUAGUGGGGAAAUCCUAUACAUCCUCCACCGUACCUUAUAUUUGACUAUUUAAUGAGGAAAUGAGCUUCGCUAUGAUCCACAUUAAGACAAGGCAUACCUAACACGCUGGAUAAGAACGAAGCUUGGAUUCCAGAAAGUGUCGUACAAAAGGGCGCCAUCAAGAACACUAGUUUUGGUGAAAAAGGCGCGUUAUCGAAAUUUGUUGUACCACGGUUUUUUGCGUUGCGUUUUAAACGCAGUGGAAGUCAAAUAGAACACCCUCUCCGCUCACUCUUUCCUCAGAUUAUUGUCAGAUUUCUGUUCUUUUCUGAAAAAAACGACUUAUUUUUGUGCGUUGCAAUUUUAUUUUCCAAACCUCUAUCUUCUGCGAAGAAAAGACAUUGUAUUGAGCCGAUGCAUGUGAACGUAUGCAGAAACUUAACUAUUUGAUGCAAUAUAUUUUUGAACAGUCUCUUCCACGUCGAGUUUGUUAUGUUCGCAAAUGGAUUCAUUCUUGUAGCAAAUAUAUUUAAGGCGUAAGUAAAGCACAAUAAGACGGGCGUAAUGUAUCGAUGUUGAGAUAGAGAAACGUAAACAUGAUUUCACGUACCUUUAUCUGGAACAUAACUCGAAUAAUAAAACUAAAAUAAAUACACGUUAAAAAUUAAGUGUGCGUUUUGUUUUACGUUUAAAUUAAACUUCGUUUCCGUUAACUUCUCCUUUAAUGUUUAAGCGUAACGUUAAAUAGAAAUAGGGCGUUUAUUUAGGGGCGUUCAGAAAAAAAACCUUCAAUAGAUUAAACGCUGUAUUCUGUCUCAACGCAUUGCAGACAUAGUAGAAAAAGC